UUAGAGGAGCCACUGCCUGUGUCAGAAGGCAAAUGGGACCAAUCAACUUGUGAGCUGUCGAAUGACACAGUGAGUCCCUGCCUCUGAAACUUUUGUUAUUUCUUCCCCUCAACUUACUUCAAUCGUUUCCACAACUUAGUUACAGACUAGGACAAGUUGCCAGAGAUCUACAGGCACGUCCCACAGCCCGGAGCAAGCUCCUCUGUGCUUCACUAACAGUAAGACCAGAGGUGGGUGACAGCGCCAUGAAGGAUUAACGAGCAAGCUUCACAAAGGCUGU